GGACGGGUGAGUAAUGCCUAGGAAUCUGCCUGGUAGUGGGGGACAACGUUUCGAAAGGAACGCUAAUACCGCAUACGUCCUACGGGAGAAAGCAGGGGACCUUCGGGCCUUGCGCUAUCAGAUGAGCCUAGGUCGGAUUAGCUAGUUGGUGGGGUAAUGGCUCACCAAGGCGACGAUCCGUACUGGUCUGAGAGGAUGAUCAGUCACACUGGAACUGAGACACGGUCCAGACUCCUACAGGAGGCAGCAGUGGGGAAUAUUGGACAAUGGGCGAAAGCCUGAUCCAGCCAUGCCGCGUGUGUGAAGAAGGUCUUCGGAUUGUAAAGCACUUUAAGUUGGGAGGAAGGGCAGUAAGUUAAUACCUUGCUGUUUUGACGUUACCGACAGAAUAAGCACCGGCCAACUCUGUGCCAGCAGCCGCGGUAAUACAGAGGGUGCAAGCGUUAAUCGGAAUUACUGGGCGUAAAGCGCGCGUAGGUGGUUUGUUAAGUUGGAUGUGAAAGCCCCGGGCUCAACCUGGGAACUGCAUCCAAAACUGGCAAGCUAGAGUACGGUAGAGGGUGGUGGAAUUUCCUGUGUAGCGGUGAAAUGCGUAGAUAUAGGAAGGAACA
rnacentral:rRNA from 1 species